rnacentral:rRNA from 1 species
GACGAACCGUGCAAACGUUGUUCGGAAUCACUGGGCUUAAAGGGCGCGUAGGCGGGCAGCCAAGUCAGGGGUGAAAUCUUUCGGCUUAACCGGAAAACUGCUUUUGAUACUGGUUGUCUAGAGUGAGGUAGGGGCAUGUGGAACUUCCGGUGGAGCGGUGAAAUGCGUUGAUAUCGGAAGGAACGCCGGUGGCGAAAGCGACGUGCUGGACCUUUUCUGACGCUGAGGCGCGAAAGCUAGGGUAGCGAACGG